rnacentral:tRNA from 1 species
AGCUUUAUAGUCAAUCUAUGAUAUUAGACUGCAAUUCUAAAGGAGUAUUAAAUACUAAGGCUU